rnacentral:lncRNA from 13 species
GUCCGAGGUCUUCAUAUCUCCUCACCCCUCACGGCUUAAUCAGAGAGCUGCCUGGCCUGCAAGCUCAAUUCAUGAGAAAGAAACUAAGGCUCAGGGAUGCUCCAUAAGUGGCCCAAGCCAUGGCUGAGAGAGGGUGGGCCAGACGUUUAUAAAGGAGGAUGAUGAAACCCAGCCCGGCCCCUGUGACGCUCUUGGUUUUGAUCCAUGGCAUUAAAGCAAGGUUACAGUGGCUGAUGCAGCUGGGCGAGGAGCAGCUCUUGGGCCUGGGAGGGGAACUUCUCACUACUGGGAACUCCGACUCCACACGGCUGAAGAAGCUGGAAAUGGAUCUCUAUGGCUUUGAGCCACUGCAGUUUCAAAUCUGCUGAUGACAGUGGCUGAGCCUACGCUAACACACACAGAAGUUCUGCCAACAAUAAUCACUCUGGGACAUAACCACAGACUGUCUUUCACUGAUACAUACGUGAGGUGCGUGUACCUGCAAUAGCUUCACCUAAAUUCUAAGGCCUGGAAGAGAAGGGCCGCUUAUGCUUCAGUAUUUAGGACAGCAUUUGCCCUUAGUUAUGAAAGCAUUUGUGUAAGUUCUGGGUUCCUUCUUCCUUAAAUGCUUGAAAGGUUUCACUGGCAAACUUUUCUGGCCUGAAUUUGUGGGUGUGAAGGUUUUCAAUCACAUACUUAAUUUCUCUAAUACUUAUUGAAAGUAAUCUGAUUUGUUUGAUUACGCCACUCUAAAGCACAAUCUUUAAAAAGCUGGACUUUUCUGGGAAUCUGUCUGUCUUAUGUAAUUAUUCAAAUUCACUGACUGACGUAAUUGUUCUGUUAGAGGUUUUAUGAGCUGCAUGGUCUGUACCGAUGUUGCCUUUUUUGUUAUCUUGGUAACUGAAAUAGUCUUUCUUUCCUUUUUCAAAAAAUCAGUCUCUCCAGGGGUUAAAGUAUUUAUUUAAUUAAUUAUUCAUUUAAUGUUUUAAGAAGCAACUCUUGACUUGAUAACUGUCUCUACUAAGCACUUGCUUCUAUUUCACUAAUUUCUGCUUGUGUACUUAUGUUGUUUUCUAAUUCUUGUAUUGAAGCACUUAGCAUGGUUCCGGGUAGAUAGUAACUUCCCUGUAAAUGUUAGCAUCACUACUGUAAAGAAAUGUCUCAAUUCAGGGUGUCUGUUGUACGAUAUUAUUAAACAUGAGAACUUCUACAACUUCUCUGGUGAUGAGAUCUUAGAAAACAUUAAAUCCAUUUGUCCCAUUCAAACUCUUACUAUUAUCAUUAUACACUUAAGUCUGUGUGUAUUUGAAAGCAUAUAUCAUUAUUAAUGUGUAAAAUUAACAUUUAUAUUUAUUAAUAUGAAUACAAGAUCCAAUAUAAAUGUAUUAA